UACGAACCGUCCAAACGUUAUUCGGAAUUACUGGGCUUAAAGGGUUUGUAGGCGGCCUUGUAAGUGGGGUGUGAAAUCCCUCGGCUCAACCGAGGAAUAGCGCUCCAAACUACAUGGCUUGAGGGAGACAGGGGUAAGCGGAACUGAUGGUGGAGCGGUGAAAUGCGUUGAUAUCAUCAGGAACACCGGUGGCGAAAGCGGCUUACUGGGUCUCUUCUGACGCUGAGGCACGAAAGCCAGGGGAGCAAACGGG
rnacentral:rRNA from 1 species